CAACGUCUCAGAUCAAAUGUUAUGCCGAGCAGACGCCUGGUCUCUGUUCUGCCAACUGCCGUAGCGCUCCGCGUCUCCUGAAUCCCGCGGCCCGCUCGCAACACCCCGAUUUACGGAUCUGUUCCACCUGAAUCGUGCCUCCUGAUCCUUCUUUCUUUAGGCCCCAGCUCCAGAAGGAUCAAUCCACAACAACCAUGAUCAUGCAUCCGGAGCUUCCCUGUCCGCUCCACCAUCGGACUCCGCGGAUCCACGGCUAACGGGCCGAUGGAGGCGAAGGAUGGAUCCACAACAACCAUGGCGGUGCAUCCACAGCGUCCGCGGCGACUCUACCUCCGGCUCCGUGGAUCCACGGCUAGCGGCCCGACGGAGGAGCGAUGGGCAUCAAUACGGUCUGCUGCUCUGCCAUGUGGUCCCUCCAUGUAUCCCCCUGGACCUCAGUGGCCAGACGCUUCUUCCACUCCGGCUCAGGUAAGCCCCCUCCACUAUACUUUUCUCAUGCGCGCCCGCUCCUGCAAUGAAUCAUAUGCUAGCCAUGUCGGGUUCUAGGGUUUCCGUCUCUCCAUAGGAUUCAAUUUUCAGGCGUGUUUCCUUGGUGUUCUAGGACGAUUAAGAUUUCUUGAGGAUAACCUCCCUCAUGGUCCAAAAGCUCUCUUGUCCACGUCUCACAUGGCUACAUGGGAAAAUCAAGUGGGGAUCAGAUUUAGUUGUCUUGAUGGGGAAUCACCCCAACAUGAACUAGGUAAUCAAUCUUUCUCAUGGUUUUCGAUGCAACAAAGGAGGUGUGGUGCCAUCAGUUUGAAGCGGACCAUGCAGUUACAAAAUUGUCGUCGUCAGGAAGGUUGCUGAGUGGAUGAACUCACGGGCACCUUUUUGGUUUGUCUCUCACUGGACCAGCAGCCAUGUCUAAGGUUUGCCGAAGCACUAAUUAUGUGAUUAGUCUUAAUUAUCGAUAUGGCAUUAGGGGUUUCUCAUGUACGGCCGGAUAUGGAUCAACGAAGAUUGGCUGAGGAUGGUCAUGCCGAUAGGCGACAACAACUGACGAGUAAUUGCUCCCUGAUCCCUCCAUCUCAGAGUCGCAAAUAGCCUCUAUGUCACCACUCACCAAAUGCGGUUGCAUCAUCUAGGUUUGGUCUAUGUACAUAGUGACCAGCCUGAGAGUUUGAUUACCAAUCUGCAUGUGUUUUUUGUUACGGGCAAUGCAACUCUUGAAUUUAUUAAUUUUUGCAUGGUACAUGGCUCUUUGGCAGGUGCCUUCAUAUGUAGUGGCUCUGUACUCCAUGAAAGAGCAGGUAGAGUAUUUAGAUACUACUACUAAAUAUUAUAGGAUGUACAAUGCAAAUCCAUCCCAAAUCCAUCCAGUGGUAGGUUCUGAGGGAUGCCCGGAACAUCUACAUGUUCAGCAUCAUGAGCGUAUUUGAACUUGACCACCAAUGAGAACAGAUGUCCUACAUCGAGAUGGAGCGCAUAAUGCUCGAUCAGUUGGAUCAUUCAGGUAGAAUCAUGCUCUUCAUGUUCAGUACACCUGCUUCCUCUGUUAACGUUUCUGUUUGCUCUAAUUAUAUAAGGUCAGUCGUUGUUGUUUCAGCAAUCAAACUUCCAAAUGUCAUCUCUCUACUUUGGCAAUGAAAACAUAUUUUUCAAUUAUUUCAUGGCUUGAUUUAUCUUGUUGUUGACUAGAUGUAAAGUAUUACCCGCCAACUCAUUGAUUCUUUGUGUUUUGAGAUCACAUUCAUGCGACUCCAUCAACCAUAUAAUUUUGAACUUGAUGGAUCCUUAAUUCCUGAGCUUUGAAGUUGAUGGAUCGUUCGUUCCUCUGUUGGACAGUACAUGAAUUGGACGGACAAGUGAACAAAGUUGAUGCAUAGGUAUAUGAAGUCUGGUGCUAUUAUAGGAUAUGAGCUGAGUAAUAUAUGUAUAAAUCCAUUGGCUGAAACUUCAAUUAUUCCCGCGCUCCUGCUUGCAACGGUACCGUUAUAAUCGCCAUAGAAAAUGAUAUUAUUACAAUUAACAGUUAAUUAACUAUCUUUUGUUAACUCAUCACUGAGACUUGUAAAUGUUUGAUCUUAAGAUGCCACACUACCACAUGGAAGAAAAUAAUUAUGCAAAUCCUAAUUAUGUCUGUAUAAGGUUGGGCUUUACUACAUGGAAAGAAGAAAUAUUAUAUGAACUUCCAAAGUUACUUCAAUUUUUCUGAAAGUCUGAUGCAUCUCAAACUCUGUUGCUUUGCAGCAGGAUGAUGAAGAGGAAAAGGGCAAGGGGGAGGAACUCAAGGAAACAAAGAGGGGUGGAAUAAGGAAUAAACAGUGAUGGGAAGGGAGGUGACAACCUCCAAGCCAAAGGCAAGCAAGUAUCAUUAUAUUGCUUCAGAAGACUAAGCGUGGGAGACUGUGGUUUCAAAUCGUAUAAUCGUGGUUUCGAAGUUGUUGACAAAAUGUAAUACAUAUGUAUAUAUCUUAUAAAGGUUACUAACAUACUUACUUUGGUAUGAUUUUUUUCUUCGUUAACAUAUAGGCCAAGAUGUUCUAAAUAUGCCGCAUCGGGAACAUCUAAAAAGGGAUUAACCACCUGAACACUCGGUUACCUGGUUUUAUUUUAAAUGAAGUUAUGUGUGAGGGAGAGAGAGCAAUAAGUUUGUGCAUGAACUAACGGUAAUGUUGUUGAUAAUAUUUUGGUUC